rnacentral:rRNA from 1 species
UACGGAGGGGGCUAGCGUUGUUCGGAAUUACUGGGCGUAAAGCGCGCGUAGGCGGACCUGCAAGUCGGGGGUGAAAGCCCGAGGCUCAACCUCGGAACUGCCUUCGAUACUGCAGGUCUCGAGUCCGGGAGAGGUGAGUAGAAUUCCUAGUGUAGAGGUGAAAUUCGUAGAUAUUAGGAAGAACACCAGUGGCGAAGGCGGCUCACUGGCCCGGUACUGACGCUGAGACGCGAAAGCGUGGGGAGCAAACAGG